rnacentral:rRNA from 1 species
CGCAUCUGUGCAUGCAGCAUAUCAAUAAGCGGAGGAAAAGAAACUAACAAGGAUUCCCCUAGUAACGGCGAGUGAAGCGGGAAGAGCUCAAAUUUGAAAUCUUAAAGGGUUUCCCUUUACGAAUUGUAGUUUAAAGAAGUGUUUUCUGUUGAGGUUUUGGUAAAAGUUCUUUGGAAUAGGACAUCAUAGAGGGUGAGAAUCCCGUAUUUGACCUUUACUUUCAACUUUGUGAUACACUUUCAAAGAGUCGGAUUGUUUGGGAAUGCAGUCCAAAAUGGGUGGUAAAUUUCAUCUAAAGCUAAAUAUUGGCGAGAGACCGAUAGCGAACAAGUACCGUGAGGGAAAGAUGAAAAGAACUUUGAAAAGAGAGUUAAACAGUACGUGAAAUUGUCAAAAGGGAAGCGUUUGACACCAGUGUUGUUUUUCUGAAAAUCAAUUAAAGAACUGUUUAUGCUAAGUUGUUUAGACUUUAUCAGCUAUCUGUUUAGUUUUGAGCUUUUCUUUAAUGCACUUUUCAGUUAACAAGUCAACAUCAAUUCCUUUUGCUGUAAAAAAGCUUGAGGAAGGUGGCUUGAGAUUCGUCUUAAGUGUUUAUAGCCUCUUGCCUAUGCAGUCGGAGAGAUUGAGGUCUGCAGCGUAGAUCCUUCGGGGCUAAAUGCAUUUGUGCUAAGUUAUAGCAUUUUAUAGACAGCUUGUUGACUAUGAUUUGUCUUGUAGCUUACUCGCUUAUGUUAUUUUACCUACGCUUAGGAUGUUGAGCGCAUGUCUCUCUCU